rnacentral:lncRNA from 1 species
CCGCUUCAAUUUCGUGUUGGAACUUUAGUCACUUGGUUUGGAAUCGAAAUUUAAUUUGGAUUUGCUUCGCAAUUCGAAUGAAUUUGAGUGAAAAAUGUGUUAGUUGGAACUUGGAAUGAUGUAUGGUUGAAUCAAAUACGAAUGGAAUUCAAAAUGGUUUUGAAUUCAGAAGUAUUCAUUUUAAUUUAAUAAUUAGUUAUGGAUUGUUGCGUUUGAACUAAUUUGGAGUUGAAUUGAAUUUCAUUGCGAAAU